rnacentral:rRNA from 1 species
UACAGAGGUCUCAAGCGUUGUUCGGAUUCAUUGGGCGUAAAGGGUGUGUAGGUGGCGCCGUAAGUCGGGUGUGAAAUUUCGGAGCUUAACUCCGAAACUGCAUUCGAUACUGCGGUGCUUGAGGACUGGAGAGGAGACUGGAAUUUACGGUGUAGCAGUGAAAUGCGUAGAUAUCGUAAGGAAGACCAGUGGCGAAGGCGGCUCACUGGCCCGGUACUGACGCUGAGGUGCGAAAGCGUGGGGAGCAAACAGG